rnacentral:rRNA from 1 species
UACGGAGGGUGCAAGCGUUAUCCGGAUUCACUGGGUUUAAAGGGCGCGUAGGCGGGCGAGCAAGUCCGGGGUGAAAUCUUUCGGCUUAACCGGAAAAGUGCCUUGGAUACUGCUCGUCUCGAGGGAGGUAGGGGCAUGUGGAACUUCCGGUGGAGCGGUGAAAUGCGUUGAUAUCGGAAGGAACGCCGGUGGCGAAAGCGAUGUGCUGGACCUCUUCUGACGCUGAGGCGCGAAAGCCAGGGGAGCGAACGGG